AAAAUGAAGAGAAGCACAGAAGGCACUGCAGCUACAUAAUGCUGAAACACAAAUUCUCCAAUCAGAUACAUUGGGAGUGCUGCAAAAUUAUUAUUUCAUUUUAUUUCAGUUCAAGUUUUUUUGCCAUGGGAAAGAGUCCAAAAUGAGAGGCAUGUACAUUUGGUGCAAUUCAACCCCCACUGAAAAAAUACAAAUCCUUCUGCUGACUUCUAUGGGAGUUGAGGCGAAGCUCUAAAUGUAAAGAAUAAAACAAGGGAGAAGCUGCAUUUUUUUAAUUAAAAAAGAUGCAAUAAACAAA